GAGGAAAUAUUGGUCAAUGGGCGCUAGCCUGAACCAGCCAAGUAGCGUGAAGGAUGAAGGCUCUAUGGGUCGUAAACUUCUUUUAUAUAAGAAUAAAGUGCAGUAUGUAUACUGUUUUGUAUGUAUUAUAUGAAUAAGGAUCGGCUAACUCC
rnacentral:rRNA from 1 species